UACGAAGGGGGCUAGCGUUGUUCGGAUUUACUGGGCGUAAAGCGCACGUAGGCGGAUCGAUCAGUCAGGGGUGAAAUCCCAGGGCUCAACCCUGGAACUGCCUUUGAUACUGUCGAUCUGGAGUAUGGAAGAGGUGAGUGGAAUUCCGAGUGUAGAGGUGAAAUUCGUAGAUAUUGGGAAGAACACCGGUGGCGAAGGCGGCUCACUGGCCCGUAACUGACGCUCAUGCACGACAGCGUGGGGAUCAAACAGG
rnacentral:rRNA from 1 species